rnacentral:rRNA from 1 species
AUGUUUGGCAAAUAUUUCCAACUGUGGCUUCUUCCAUUCGACUAUCCCCUUGACUUAGUGAUCACCCUUGCAGAAUUUUGUCAAAACUUUGAAGAAGAAACCAGCCGACUGGAGCCAAACCUUGACCCCGUCAAUUCUCCGGUGAAUGACGAAGUUGCCAUGGAUGUUUUCCGACUGGAGUCUCGUGUUGCAGCUGUCGUGGACUAUCUCGCAAGGCUGAAGGCCGCCACAUCUCGCAUCGACUCGACGCUCUGGCCUGAGGAGACACUUCAGAAUGACCUUGAGUCACUAAUGGCCCGCUUGAACACGAUCCCUGGUCGAGUGCAGGAAUGGAAGAAGUCCUCGGCUCGGUGUGGUGCAGAUGUCGCUCUGUGUCUGGCCCGAGUCCACUGCAAAGAUGCACGAGAGGAGAAGCUGGCGGCUCUUCGGGUGGCCAAUACCAAGAAGCACGACUUCAGGUCCUUUAUGGAGACUUUCCUUGCAGCUGCCACUCGGAUCGCCGACGGAAUUGACCUUGAUGAAUUUGUUGCACCUUCCAGCCCUCCACAGGAGGGGUAA